AGGAACUACUCACCUUACCAUCUUGGCCGUUUCAUUUGUCUUCCACCAGUUCUGGAAAAAGAAGGCCUAGAAGUUCAGAAAAAAAGGAAAUGACCAGUGCUUUGGUUAAGAAUGCACAUUAUACUGCAGUUCUCUGGGGAAUGAAGCCACCCUUGACUGAGGAGACACAGCACAGAAGAGAGAGGCAGAAGCAGCUUUACUGAAAAACAGAGCAUGAGUAGAACGACUUCAAGUCCCAUAUGGCACCACAGUGAGAAGUAACUUCUUCUGAGCUUCUUAGAGAAUCCAACAAUGUCCUGCUCCCUUGGAGAGCUGCAGCCAUGGGCACAUGGGAAUAGGGCUUCCACCAAGAGUCCCGUCGGUCACAGCAACAGGAUGUCUUCCUCAGACAACUUUGAUGAUAGAGGUUGUUAGCCAGAGCAAGCUAGAACCAGAAAGAAAAACUUUGAAGAUGCCACAGUGGGAGUCUGAGCACCUUGAGGCCUCCUGUUGGAAACUGGCAAACCUAACUGUGGGACACUUGGAUGCUGAGUUCUGGUAAACAUGCUGUGGGAGGCAUGAUAAUUUAGUCAUUAACAUUUAAAAACGAUCUAAUUCUAUAUACAUACUCUGUUGAAGACUUCUUCCAACCACCUUGUAUUAUAAA